rnacentral:rRNA from 1 species
UACGUAGGGUGCGAGCGUUGUCCGGAAUUAUUGGGCGUAAAGAGCUCGUAGGCGGUCUGUCGCGUCGGUCGUGAAAACUUGGGGCUUAACCCUGAGCUUGCGGUCGAUACGGGCAUGACUGGAGUUCGGUAGGGGAGACUGGAAUUCCUGGAGUAGCGGUGAAAUGCGCAGAUAUCAGGAGGAACACCGGUGGCGAAGGCGGGUCUCUGGGCCGAUACUGACGCUGAGGAGCGAAAGCGUGGGGAGCGAACAGG